rnacentral:misc_RNA from 1 species
CAUCUUUUGUGAUGUGCGUAUCCAUUUCCAACGUAGUUACGCCCAAGUCGAUGGCAUGGCACAUACCAAUGAUGGUAUUUUCAGGCAUCAGGCCUCUUCCACCCCUGUGCCCUUCCGUGCUAAAAGCAGGGAACUCGGCUAUGGCAAUUGAAUUGGAGUUUUGCAUGGUCUUACAUCCGGAUACACAUAAUAAUGCCAUAACGGCUAAACAGUUUACGGUCUUCAUUAAUUACAGGUUUUAAUUUCAUCAUCUG